AGCGGGUGAAAAGCCCGCUCGCCGGAAGACCAAGGGUUCCUGUCCAACGUUAAUCGGGGCAGGGUGAGUCGACCCCUAAGGCGAGGCCGAAAGGCGUAGUCGAUGGGAAACGGGUUAAUAUUCCCGUACUUGGUGUUACUGCGAAGGGGGGACGGAGAAGGCUAUGUUGGCCGGGCGACGGUUGUCCCGGUUUAAGCGUGUAGGUGUGUGUUCCAGGUAAAUCCGGUUCACUUUAACACUGAGGCGUGAYGACGAGGCACUACGGUGCUGAAGCAACAAAUGCCCUGCUUCCAGGAAAAGCCUCUAAGCAUCAGGUAACAYSAAAUCGUACCCCAAACCGACACAGGUGGUCAGGUAGAGAAUACCAAGGCGCUUGAGAGAACUCGGGUGAAGGAACUAGGCAAAAUGGUGCCGUAACUUCGGGAGAAGGCACGCUGACAYGUAGGUGAAGUGAUUUACUCAYGGAGCUGAAGUCAGUCGAAGAUACCAGCUGGCUGCAACUGUUUAUUAAAAACACAGCACUGUGCAAACACGAAAGUGGACGUAUACGGUGUGACGCCUGCCCGGUGCCGGAAGGUUAAUUGAUGGGGUCAGCGCAAGCGAAGCUCCUGAUCGAAGCCCCGGUAAACGGCGGCCGUAACUAUAACGGUCCUAAGGUAGCGAAAUUCCUUGUCGGGUAAGUUCCGACCUGCACGAAUGGCGUAAUGAUGGCCAGGCUGUCUCCACCCGAGACUCAGUGAAAUUGAACUCGCUGUGAAGAUGCAGUGUACCCGCGGCAAGACGGAAAGACCCCGUGAACCUUUACUAUAGCUUGACACUGAACAUUGAGCCUUGAUGUGUAGGAUAGGUGGGAGGCUUUGAAGUGUGGACGCCAGUCUGCAUGGAGCCGACCUUGAAAUACCACCCUUUAAUGUUUGAUGUUCUAACGUGGACCCGUAAUCCGGGUUGCGGACAGUGUCUGGUGGGUAGUUUGACUGGGGCGGUCUCCUCCUAAAGAGUAACGGAGGAGCACGAAGGUUGGCUAAUCCUGGUCGGACAUCAGGAGGUUAGUGCAAUGGCAUAAGCCAGCUUGACUGCGAGCGUGACGGCGCGAGCAGGUGCGAAAGCAGGUCAUAGUGAUCCGGUGGUUCUGAAUGGAAGGGCCAUCGCUCAACGGAUAAAAGGUACUCCGGGGAUAACAGGCUGAUACCGCCCAAGAGUUCAUAUCGACGGCGGUGUUUGGCACCUCGAUGUCGGCUCAUCACAUCCUGGGGCUGAAGUAGGUCCCAAGGGUAUGGCUGUUCGCCAUUUAAAGUGGUACGCGAGCUGGGUUUAGAACGUCGUGAGACAGUUCGGUCCCUAUCUGCCGUGGGCGCUGGAGAACUGAGGGGGGCUGCUCCUAGUACGAGAGGACCGGAGUGGACGCAUCACUGGUGUUCGGGUUGUCAUGCCAAUGGCACUGCCCGGUAGCUAAAUGCGGAAGAGAUAAGUGCUGAAAGCAUCUAAGCACGAAACUUGCCCCGAGAUGAGUUCUCCCUGAGACUUAGAGUCUCCUGAAGGAACGUUGAAGACGACGACGUUGAUAGGCCGGGUGUGUAAGCGCAGCGAUGCGUUGAGCUAACCGGUACUAAUGAACCGUGAGGCUUAACCUU
rnacentral:rRNA from 1 species